ACCUUAAUCAGGUAUUAAAUUUUCCUAAAAUAUAUUUCUGGGCCUCUACAUUUUUCCAUUAAUCUUCUACUUUUGUACCAACACUAUACCACUUUAAUUAUUACAGAUGUGUUGAAAUGUGUUUAAUAUGUAGUAGAACUGAACUAGCUCAAUCUAGAGUAUUCAAUAAAUACAAUAGAAAGUCAAUGCUUGAAGAGACAAUUAAGGGCACCUCACUGGCUUAAUUUAUUAGCUUGAAUGGCUGUUUGUCAACCUUAGUGUUCUGCGUUAGAGAAAAUGUGCCAAUCAUCACAGAUGUCUUUACAAUGAAUAUGAGUUCACCACUUUUAGUGAUUAGAUUUUAGAGAGUAACAUCCAAAACAGUGAAUAAUAAAUGAAAAAUAUACUUCAGGCUUAUCACCUUUUCAAAAUAAAAAAUCAAUGUGGGUGGAGUACAAAACUGAUAAUAUUUAAUACCUAUACAUAAAAUGCCUUUGGUGCUAUGUAUAUUGAUUGUAAUGUUUAUGAAACUGCCUUUGCAAAAUUAUAACAGCAAGAGAAAUGUGACAUAGUUGACCCCAUCUUGCUUCUGAUCUCCAAGCUGUUUUUGGUUAUUCCUGGGUAUAGGCCAAGCUAAAUUUAGCAGAAAUUUAGUUUAUAGUUUAAC
rnacentral:lncRNA from 1 species